CCAGACUCCUACGGGAGGCAGCAGUGGGGGAUAUUGGACAAUGGGGGGAACCCUGAUCCAGCGACGCCGCGUGAGUGAAGAAGUAUUUCGGUAUGUAAAGCUCUGUCAGCAGGGAAGAAAGAAAUGACGGUACCUGACCAAGAAGCCCCGACUAACUACGUGCCAGCAGCCGCGGUAAUACGUAGGGGGCAAGCGUUAUCCGGAAUUACUGGGUGUAAAGGGAGCGUAGACGGUUAAGUAAGUCUGGAGUGAAAGGCCGGGGCCCAACCCCGGGACUGCAUUGGGAACUGCCCCGCUCGAGUGCCGGAGGGGCAGGCGGAAUUCCUAGUGUAGCGGUGAAAUGCGUAGAUAUUAGGAGGAACACCAGUGGCGAAGGCGGCCUGCUGGACGGUGUACUGACGCUGAGGCUCGAAAGCGUGGGGAGCAAACAGGAUUAGAUACCCGGGUAU
rnacentral:rRNA from 1 species